CGCAAAGGAUUGCGACAUCCAGGCAAUGUGGAUAUUCUGCCAUGUACAUGAUACACCUAGGAUUCUUCGUCAACAUGCAACAUGUUACUCCCUGUAAACUACUGUUGGCAGAAUAGCUGAUACAUUGCGAAAACAGUUAUGGCAAGUGUGAUGAUUAAAUCACCAUAGGUCAGUUGUCUUGCCUUCACAAUUGCAACGAAGAUGAAUCAUGGAGUCAAAAACAUUAAAAGGUGCAUGGAACGUCCAAUCGGAAAGCCCAUGGAAGGUCUCUGUGGCCAACACGAAAGGUUCUCCCAAACUUUCGUAUUCAAGUUUUGGCUAUGGUGAUCAUUUGCAACUGCAUAGCCUUUUAGAAGCUCCUGCCAGGAAUCUACAGGAAUAUGGCAGAUGAUGAAUUUAUGUACCAUGUAAGCGAUAUCAAUA